rnacentral:lncRNA from 1 species
UAGCGUUCAGCCUGCUUAUAAUUAACUCGUCUGUCCAAUUUUUCACAUGCACUCCCAUCUCCCAUCACUUUAACCCUUUCUUUUCCUUUAUCUUUCUCUGCCACCGCAUCAAAUCCAUUGCCUCUCGCCGAUAAAACUCUCUAAUUUCAUCAAAUUUUGGGCAUUUUUCAAAACGCUUGCUCAAAGUUAAGUGGAUUUGAGUCCUACAAGUCAUCUUCAAGGUUUGCCCAAUUUCUUACUAUUCCUGCGAUUGUCAUUUCCUUCAUCCUUGGCAAACAAAAUCCUAAUUGUGGGAAUAGGUUUUCAUUCACCGUGAAGAUUGCAGGAAGAGUGAACAGGUUGCUCACCUCGUGCCGACAGAUUGCAGAAGGGUUUUGAAUCUUUUCUGUAAGCUGCCGAUUUCUUAUUGUGCAGUGAUUUAAUUGUGAAAUAGGAAUUUUGGAUUGUAUGUAUAUUUUUUUUUUUAAAGAAAGAAAAUUUCUUUUAUUGCUUAGUUGUUCUCACUUCUCCAAUUGGGUUUAAUUUCUUUAUAAGUUUUGCAUUUGUGUGUAGCGUCCAUUUAAUAUCUGAUUUUGAGUCCAACCUUUGUUUUCCCCCCAACUUUCUAGGAGUUUUCACUUAAAAGUGUGUAGCGUGCAUUCCUUGAUUUUCCUNCAGUUUUUGCUUGAAGGUCAUAAGUUAGUGGUAAAUUAAAACUGGACAGC